UCGAGGCGGGGGCAGGGGCAGAUCAACUCCUGAACAACAACAAAAGUCGCGUUUUUCCAGUUUGUACCAACGAGGAGAAACGUAACAAGAGCAGUGUCCACGAAGAGACCAGCUACAGCUACUGGGAAUCUGGUCUCUGAAGAGGUCCAGAGGAAGCUGGAGCACAAUCGGCCAUUGUGGGUUGUUGUAGGUGUCAGCUGAGAG